GUCCGUGAGCGCAAUGGGUAGCGCGUUGGACUUCUAAUCCAAAGGUCGUGGGUUCGAAUCCUACCUGGGAUA